AACAACUUUUUCUAACCAACUUAAUCAGUCACUAUAAUACAUGUAAUUGUCACAUCUGUUAGAAGCAUUUUUAAUAUGCUGAUUGUCUUUCAGAUGUUGUUUCAUAAAAGCACUCUACAAAUUAGUAGUUAUUAACCCGCCAGGAUUGCCACUCUGAUCAUACUGAAGAGUGAAGAGUGGAGUGGGUGUGGAUAUGUGGGUGUGAGGAGAGCUUGCUCCUGGAAGGUGGAAUUAACAGAAUGUAUUCCACUUGAUCUCUUACUUCACCUUGGAUAAACCUUAUCUCUUAUUCUCUCCUCACAGUUCUAGCUUCUAUUGUAUUAUCCAGGUGGUUACUUAAAACCAACACUCUACAUUUUGAAGUGGUCUACUAGUAUUUACUAGCUCAAACUCUGUUCAAGCUUGAGAACACUCAUUUGAUCUGUGGAGUCCUUUGCUGUUAAGAACCAGGAGCUGCACUCUUCUGCUGGCUAUCUUCCUUCUGUGCUAAGAUAACCUCGAUUCCUGCUGGUUCUGUGGGCACUUGCAGUGCAAAGCAUUUCUUACUGGGUUUGCAAAACAAGGGUAAUGUGCUCUGUGGGUGUCUGUUUGUCUGUGCACACCCUUCCCCCUCAAUCCUACUGCCCCCUUCUGCUCACUCCCUUUUUCUUAUCAAAACUUAUUUUCAAAAAUUAUACAAAUCUUAGCCCUGGCUGGGUGGCUCAGAUGGUUAGAGCGUCGUC